rnacentral:rRNA from 1 species
AUUGAACGCUGGCGGCAGGCUUAACACAUGCAAGUCGAGCGGGGUGAUGGUGCUUGCACUAUCACUUAGCGGCGGACGGGUGAGUAAUGCUUAGGAAUCUGCCCAUUAGUGGGGGACAACAUUUCGAAAGGAAUGCUAAUACCGCAUACGUCCUACGGGAGAAAGCAGGGGAUCUUCGGACCUUGCGCUAAUAGAUGAGCCUAAGUCGGAUUAGCUAGUUGGUGGGGUAAAGGCCUACCAAGGCGACGAUCUGUAGCGGGUCUGAGAGGAUGAUCCGCCACACUGGGACUGAGACACGGCCCAGACUCCUACGGGAGGCAGCAGUGGGGAAUAUUGGACAAUGGGCGGAAGCCUGAUCCAGCCAUGCCGCGUGUGUGAAGAAGGCCUUAUGGUUGUAAAGCACUUUAAGCGAGGAGGAGGCUACUUUGGUUAAUACCUAGAGAUAGUGGACGUUACUCGCAGAAUAAGCACCGGCUAACUCUGUGCCAGCAGCCGCGGUAACAC